rnacentral:rRNA from 1 species
GGCGCACAGCGGUGGAGCAUGUGGUUUAAUUCGAAGCAACGCGAAGAACCUUACCAGGUCUUGACAUCUUCUGACAAUUCCAGAGAUGGAACGUUCCCUUCGGGGACAGAAUGACAGGUGGUGCAUGGUUGUCGUCAGCUCGUGUCGUGAGAUGUUGGGUUAAGUCCCGCAACGAGCGCAACCCUUAUUGUCAGUUGCCAUCAUUAAGUUGGGCACUCUGGCGAGACUGCCGGUGACAAACCGGAGGAAGGUGGGGAUGACGUCAAAUCAUCAUGCCCCUUAUGACCUGGGCUACACACGUGCUACAAUGGACGGUACAACGAGUCGCUAACUCGCGAGGGCAAGCUAAUCUCUUAAAGCCGUUCUCAGUUCGGAUUGCAGGCUGCAACUCGCCUGCAUGAAGUCGGAAUCGCUAGUAAUCGCGAAUCAGCAUGUCGCGGUGAAUACGUUCCCGGGCCUUGUACACACCGCCCGU